rnacentral:rRNA from 1 species
UCCCAAGGGUUGGGCUGUUCGCCCAUUAAAGCGGAACGUGAGCUGGGUUCAGAACGUCGUGAGACAGUUCGGUCCAUAUCCGGUGCAGGCGUAGGAGCAUUGAGAGGAGUCCUCCUUAGUACGAGAGGACCGGGAGGAACGCACCUCUGGUGUACCUGUUAUCGUGCCAACGGUAAACGCAGGGUAGCCAUGUGCGGAGUGGAUAACCGCUGAAAGCAUCUAAGUGGGAAGCCCACCUCAAGAUGAGUGCUCCCAUGGCAUAAGCCAGUAAGGUCACGGGUAGAACACCCGUUAAUAGGCUCUCGAUGGAAGUCCAGUAAUGGAUGAAGUCUAGGAGUACUAAUAGACCGAGGGCUUGACCUCA